GACGUAGGGCGCGAGCGUUGUCCGGAUUUAUUGGGCGUAAAGAGCUCGUAGGCGGCUUGUCGCGUCGACUGUGAAAACUCCAGGCUCAACCUGGAGACGCCACGCGAUACUGGCGUGACUAGAGUUCGGUAGGGGAUCACGGAAUUCCUGGUGUAGCGGUGAAAUGCGCAGAUAUCAGGAGGAACACCGGUGGCGAAGGCGGUGAUCUGGGCCGACACUGACGCUGUAGAGCGAAAGCGUGGGGAGCGAACAGG
rnacentral:rRNA from 1 species